rnacentral:rRNA from 1 species
UGGGGAAUAUUGGACAAUGGGCGCAAGCCUGAUCCAGCCAUGCCGCGUGAGUGAUGAAGGCCUUAGGGUUGUAAAGCUCUUUUAUCCGGGACGAUAAUGACGGUACCGGAGGAAUAAGCCCCGGCUAACUUCGUGCCAGCAGCCGCGGUAAUACGAAGGGGGCCAGCGUUGCUCGGAAUCACUGGGCGUAAAGGGCGCGUAGGCGGCGUUUUAAGUCGGGGGUGAAAGCCUGUGGCUCAACCACAGAAUGGCCUUCGAUACUGGGACGCUUGAGUAUGGUAGAGGUUGGUGGAACUGCGAGUGUAGAGGUGAAAUUCGUAGAUAUUCGCAAGAACACCGGUGGCGAAGGCGGCCAACUGGACCAUUACUGACGCUGAGGCGCGAAAGCGGGGGGAGCAAACAGGAUUAGAUACCCUGGUAGUCCACGCCGUAAACGAUGAAUGCCAGCUGUUGGGGUGCUUGCACCCGCAGUAGCGCAGCUAACGCUUUGAGCAUUCCGCCUGGGGAGUACGGUCGCAAGAUUA